CCAAAGGCUCUUUUCAGAGCCACCCACGGUGUCAGCGGGAGCUG
rfam:Oryctolagus cuniculus unplaced genomic scaffold chrTn0049, whole genome shotgun sequence.